UUCAGGCUUCACUGCGGCCUACACGGAGGCCUCCGUGGAAGCCCCGCCCACCCGCCAAUCAGCUGAGAGGCGGGAGAAAAGGAGCUCUUUGCAGCUUGCCUGCUGCUUCGAUUGCGGGCCAGCAGAACAAGCAGGAGAGACGGCGAAGAGGGCAAGUGGCUGAGAGGCUAUGGGGCUGGGCAGGGGGCAAUGGGGAGUCACAUGAGGUGCCUCUGGGGGGCCCCUCCAGGCAGUGGGGCCCCCAGACAACUGUCUCCCCUUGCCCUAUCAUUGUUACAUGCCUGAUCUGGUGGAAAGGAUGUAAGGCUCCCAUGCAGGUGACGGAGAGAGAAUCUAACUAGCAGCAGGCAGGGAAGAGGAUGUAGGAGAUCAAUACACCUCUGCAGAUUACAGAGGGAAGGGAGCUGAGAAUGGGAUCGGGAGAUGGUUUCCUCACUUCGCUGAAGGAAUCUCCACAUAAAGCAAGAUCAGCUGUCCUGGAUUGCCAGUCUCCAACCACAAGGACAGGGAGAAAGCAUAUGGGACUUGACAUGAAGUAGCUACAAUGGCUGGAAUGGAGCACCAGAAAAAUGGGCUCUGAAGGACUUGAGAGAAGAGACAAAAGGCUAGCAAAAUUCUGGUUUGGAGAGGCAGAGAGAAAGACAAGCAUAGAUUUUCCAGGCUUUUGCACCAGCCCCCCCCCCCAAUCUAAAGACUGAAGAAGGAGAAGAAGAUUGAAGAAGAAAGAGUAGACUCAGAGACCAGACCACAGAAGUGGGCAACUGGACACACAACAUGGGUGAAGCCCUAGACUGAGUUCCAUUGGUUACCCACACUUUGCUUCAGUGCUAGCAGCUGAUCUUCCCUCCCCACCAUUGAAGUAGCAGCCAUUGGCACGAAUGUACUAAGUUUGGGGAGAGGUCCAAGAAGGGGAUGGGAGCCAACACCUAAAUGGAUCCUGUCUCGAAGCCCUCAAAACAAGUAUCUGUCAGGAGUAAGAUUUACAAAGGGAGACAACCCUCUGAUACAUCACUGCUUGCAAAGAAGACCACUUCUCCUCAGAUCCAGACAGGUCAGUCCACAAUAAACCUGAAGUCAUCCAUGAUCUGAUUCCUGAUGAAGGAGCCAACCUGCAGCUUCAUCUUGCAUUAUCUCUACAGUGUUUUCUUCAAAUGAGAUAGUCACAGUUUUUAAACCUUGGAACAAUAAACACUACAUGUCUCUGCUUUUCAAAAUGUUUUAGAAUGGCUAAAAAAUUAUCUAUUUGUUGAGAAAAUAAGUUUUCAAAGAAUAAUAUUCCUGGACUUGAAUAGCAUCUGCUAUGACAAAAUCUUAUGUGUAU